GUCCUAGACUCACCGUCACCCUGGAUAGAGGGGAGAGAGCACUUACUGGAUGAACUCGAUGAAUUGACACUUCAAGGCUGGAUGCUUCACAACAAGAGUCUCUACCGUGUUUCUACUACUAAGAAGGGCUGGAGGGCCAGUAGAGAAGACUGUCAGAAGAGAAAGGCAGACCUGGUGGUCAUCAACAGCAGAGAAGAACUGGUUCAGUGAUGCUCACGGAGGAGGAGGAGGAGGCCCCCAGCAUCACAGAGU